ensembl:lncRNA
GUUUUCUUUCAGUCAGUUGCAGGAACAGAGUGUUCUGAUUUCCGGUGUGUAGUCUUUCCUGCCUACUGGUCUUCAGCUGUUCCUGUGGGUCUGUGUCCUGAGUCCACCAGUAACUGAACAAAGGAAGCCAUAAAUCAAGGCACUUCCUAUGUCCAUUGAAGGAAACAUGGUUACAGUAAAGAAGAGAAAUCUCAGCUAGAGGCGCUAAUGUUCUCUGACAAAUCUUAAGCCUUUGAGGAAAACACCUAAUGACUUCUGGGACACUGGUGCACGGGACCCCGGAAAAAGGUGUGGCAGGCCCUCCUGGUUGCAGCCCUCCCGGAGAGCUCAAAAGCAGCCCCCAGGAGAAACUACAGCCGAGGGACCACAGCAACAGAACAGACUUGGGAACUGAACUGCAGCAAUGAGCCAGAAUAUCGCAGAAUAUUUAAGCUUGCAAAUCAUAAACAUCUGUGCCAAGUUAUUGUUACAUUUUCCUACCAAUCUGGAUAGGAGUUGAUUCCAGGGGCUGGAAAUGUGAACUCAGUUUCAACCCACCAGCAAGAUGGAAGACUUGUCCCUGAGAUGGCUGGACUCAAGACUACUCUCUCCUUACAGCAGAAGCUGUCUGUUCUGGAACCCAAGCUCUCUUAGGACUUAGAACUUUGAAUUUAGUUUUCCGCUAUGAUUAAAUGGAGUCUGAAAACAAAAUGGCA